rnacentral:tRNA from 1 species
AUCUUGAUCGAGCGGUAACGACACUUGCCUCUCACCCUGGAGUCCCGGGUUCGAACCCCGGUCGAAGAGAUA